GACGAACGCUGGCGGCGCGCUUAACACAUGCAAGUCGAACGGAAAGGCCUGCUUUCCCUUGUGGAUUGCGGGUACUCGAGUGGCGAACGGGUGAGUAACACGUGAGUGAUCUGCCCCCAACUUGGGUAUAAGCCUGGGAAACUGGGUCUAAUUCCCGAUAGGACUGCAGGGUGGUGCCUGUGGUGGAAAACGAUUUUCUAGUGGUUGGGGAUGAGCUCGCGGCCUAUCAGCUUGUUGGUGGGGUAAUGGCCUACCAAGGCGGCGACGGGUAGCCGGCCUGGGAGGGUGGACGGCCACAUUGGGACUGAGAUACGGCCCAGACUCCUACGGGAGGCAGCAGUGGGGAAUAUUGCACAAUGGGCGGAAGCCUGAUGCAGCGACGCCGCGUGGGGGAUGACGGCCUUCGGGUUGUAAACUCCUUUCGACCGCGAGGAAGCCACCUGGUUGGAAGGGUGGUGACGGUAGUGGUAGAAGAAGCACCGGCUAACUACGUG
rnacentral:rRNA from 1 species